AUACUCACCUGACAGGGAAGAAACCAGAGUCGCAAAGGUGGCUUUCCCAGGGUGAGGCUCACCCAUUGCCUUCCAGAUGUGCUGAUCCCUGGGAUUUCCCCAAAUGUGGGAAACUCAACUGCGGACUUUGUGGUUGUGGGGGACUCUGAGCUGUCCCCUA